CUAACCCUGGCCUAAAACAUAGUAACCCUGGCUAAAAACAUACUAACCCUGGCCUAAAACAUACUGACCCUGCUCUAAAACAUACUGACCCUGGCCUAAAACAUACUUACCAUGGCCUAAAACAUACUGACCCUGGCCUAAAACAUACUGACCAUGGCCUAAAACAUACUGACCAUGGCCUAAAACAUACUGACCCUGGCCUAAAACAUACUGACCAUGGCCUCAAACAUACUGACCAUGGACUAAAACAUACUGACCAUGGCCUAAAACAUACUGACCCUGGCCUAAAACAUACUGACCCUGGCCUAAAACAUACUGACCCUGGCCUAAAACAUACUGACCAUGGCCUCAAACAUACUGACCAUGGCCUAAAACAUACUGACCAUGGCCUAAAACAUACUGAGCAUGGCCUAAAACUUACUGACCCUGGCCUAAAACAUACUGACCCUGGCCUAAAACAUACUGACCCUGGCCUAAAACAUACUGACCAUGGCCUAAAACUUACUGACCCUGGCCUAAAACAUACUGACCCUGGCCUAAAACAUACUAACCCUGGCCUAAAACACAGUAACCCUGACUGAAAACAUACUGACCCUGGCCUAAAACAUACUAACCCUGGCCUAAAACAUAGUAACCCUGGCUAAAAACAUACUGACCCUGGCCUAAAACAUACUAACCCUGGCCUAAAACAUAGUAACCCUGGCUAAAAACAUACUAACCCUGGCCUAAAACAUACUGACCCUGCUCUAAAACAUACUGACCCUGGCCUAAAACAUACUGACCCUGGCCUAAAACAUACUGACCCUGGUCUAAAACAUACUGACCCUGGCCUAAAACAUACUGACCCUGGCCUAAAACAUACUGACCCUGGCCUAAAAUAUACUGACCAUGGCCUAAAACAUACUGACCCUGGCCUAAUACAUACUGACCCUGGCCUAAAACAUACUGACCAUGGCCUAAAACAUACUGACCAUGGCCUAAAACAUACUGACCCUGGCCUAAAACAUACUGACCAUGGCCUAAAACUUACUGACCCUGGCCUAAAACAUACUAACCCUGGCCUAAAACAUACUAACCCUGGCCUAAAACACAGUAACCCUGACUGAAAACAUACUAACCCUGGCUAAAAACAUGUUUACCCUGGCCUAAAACUUACUGACCCUGGCCUAAAACAUACUGACCCUGGCCUAAAACAUACAGACCCUGGCCUAAAACAUACUUUUGAUGAUUCUGAUGUGUAACUGUAUCUGACAAUCUGCUGGCUGUGUGUGUGUGUCUGUGUGUGUGGUCGAUAGGAGAAAGCCAGGAGUCCUAAUGACAGAGUGCUGUCUGCUGCCACACAGAGGUCACUGGACAGGAAGAAGAGGGUGGGUGAGUCUCCAGGACAAGCCAGGAAAGUACAGAAGAAGCCAAAGAGCCCUCCCACUAACAGGAUCCUGAAGCCAAGUCAGGGUCAGAAUGCCUCUGUCCCAGGUCAGCUAAACCGACAGGGUCUGUCUGUCAGGAGCUGGUACAGAAAUACUCCGGAGGACAGAGUGAGGCGCUCAGACAGCCUGAAGAAGCAUAACUCCCUGGGCUAACUGAUUCCUCCCUCAGUCCCUCUAUGACCCCUCACUCCCUGACCCUUGACCUCUGAGCCUUCUAUCGGCCCCAUGUUCCACUAUGGUUCGACCACCACCAAUGCUACUAGUCUCUCUAACCUCCCUCUGACCUCCCUCUGAAGGUUCAGUCCAGUGCUCUCUGCCCAUCGAACACCCUACCAAAUGUAUUGUUACUAUAGUUACAUAGAUUUUCUACUAUUACAAACUUAUAAACAGUUCAUGUAUUCCUUAGGUGUGAAUGCUGCUGUGCACUCUUGUGCCAAGAUAAUUCAUGCAUUAAUGCUGCUAGAUACAGUGCCUUGCGAAAGUAUUCGGCCCCCUUGAACUUUGCGACCUUUUGCCACAUUUCAGGCUUCAAACAUAAAGAUAUAAAACUGUAU